CCUGAGCCAUGGGUGGGGGUCUUGGCACGCACUGGGGGGUCCAAGGUCUAUGGGUGGGGGUCCCAGCUGUAUGGGUGGGGGUGCCAGACUCAUGGGUGGGGGUCCCAAAUCAAUGGGUGGGGUCCCGGUACCAUGGGUGGGGGUCCCGGUGCCACGGGUGGGGGUCCCGGUGCCAUGGGUGGGGGUCCCGGUGCCAUGGGUGGGGGUCCCAGCUGUAUGGGUGGGGGUCCCAGAGCCACGGGUGGGGGUCCCGGUACCAUGGGUGGGGAUCCCAAAUUUAUGGGUGGGGGUCCCAGCUGUAUGGGUGGGGGUCUCGGUGCCAUGGGUGGGGGUCCCAGCUGUAUGGGUGGGGGUCCCGGCUGUAUGGGUGGGGGUCCCGGUGCCAUGGGUGGGGUCCUGGACACGCGGCUCCCCCCCUAAGCCCCCCCCCCCCCCCCCCGCUCCGCCACCCGGGGGGCCCCCCCCCCCCCCCCCGUCCUGCCCUCCCCCACCCCGUUGCCAUGGAAACCACGUCAAUAUUUGAACAUUUGGGGCGGUCGCGGUCGCGUUUCCCCCGGCAACGGCCAAACUUCCCAAAACAGCCCGAAACGGCCCAAAACGCGCGGGGGGGAGGGGAGGGGGCGCCGCCCUUUGUCCCCCGUGGCACCCACCCACGGCCUGGGGACACACGUGGGUGCCCCCCCCCCCCCCCCCCCCCGGGGGCCCCCCCCCAGAACCCCCCCCCCGGUCGUGGUGGCGCUGUGACGUCAUUCCCGGGACCCCCUGACGUCACACCCCUCUGGCCACGCCCCGCUGGGCACCGCCCGGAGUGACACGACCGAGAACGGCCCGGCGGAGAGACCCGAACCCGCCCGAAGGGACCCGAACCGGGAGCGGCCGAACCGCUCCGGAAACACCCGAACUUGGACUCGAAGAGGGACCCGAACCGGGAGCGGCCGAACCGCUCCGGAAACACCCGAACUUGGACUCGAAGGGGGACCCGAACCGGGAGGCGCCGAACCG
rnacentral:lncRNA from 1 species